GACGAACGCUGGCGGCGUGCUUAACACAUGCAAGUCGAACGGCGACGCACCAGCUUCCUGCUGUGGCUCAUUGGCGAACGGGUGAGUAACACGUGAGCAACCUGCCCUUCACUUUGGAAUAAGCGCUGGAAACGGCGCCUACUAUAGUAUACGAUACGGGUUCCCAUGGGCACCAUCUGAUCUUCUUUCCGGUCGGGGUUGGAUGCGCGGGUGACCAGCUUGUUGGUUGGGUAGUGGCUCACCAAGCGAAAGACGGAUAGGCGGCUUGAGAGGGGGACCGGGCACACUGGGACUGAGAGAGGGAGCAGACUCCAACGGGAGGCAGCAGUGGGGAAUAUUGCACAGUGGGCGAAAGCCUGAGACGGCGACGCCGCGGGUGGGAUGACGGCCUUCGGGUUGUAAACAUCUUUCGGCAGAGAAGAAGCGAAAGUGACGGUACCUGAAGAAGAAGCACCGGCUAACUACGUG
rnacentral:rRNA from 1 species